UCUGAAGAAGAAUUCAGGAUGAAGCUGCUGGAAAUAAAGCAUCUAGAACUGGAGGUUAAAGCACUGGGAUUUCUUAACAACAGACAGCCCUGAAGCUCAAGCUAUUUUAGCACACCUGAGGGCCAACACUGAUGCUGUGUGUUUGCUAUCUCACAAAAGUCACAGGACUUUGGGAUUGACAGCUCUGAUUACUCCUAAUGAGGAAAAGUGCCCCUGUGUUUCUGGAGAAGAGAG